CCGGUGCUUGCACCGGGGAUUAGUGGCGAACGGGUGAGUAACACGUGAGUAACCUGCCCUUGACUCUGGGAUAAGCCUGGGAAACCGGGUCUAAUACCGGAUACGACCUGUCACCGCAUGGUGGUGGGUGGAAAGAUUUAUUGGUUUUGGAUGGACUCGCGGCCUAUCAGCUUGUUGGUGAGGUAAUGGCUCACCAAGGCGACGACGGGUAGCCGGCCUGAGAGGGUGACCGGCCACACUGGGACUGAGACACGGCCCAGACUCCUACGGGAGGCAGCAGUGGGGAAUAUUGCACAAUGGGCGAAAGCCUGAUGCAGCGACGCCGCGUGAGGGAUGACGGCCUUCGGGUUGUAAACCUCUUUCAGCAGGGAAGAAGCGAAAGUGACGGUACCUGCAGAAGAAGCGCCGGCUAACUACGUGCCAGCAGCCGCGGUAAUACGUAGGGCGCAAGCGUUGUCCGGAAUUAUUGGGCGUAAAGAGCUCGUAGGCGGUUUGUCGCGUCUGCUGUGAAAGCCCGGGGCUCAACCCCGGGUCUGCAGUGGGUACGGGCAGACUAGAGUGCAGUAGGGGAGACUGGAAUUCCUGGUGUAGCGGUGAAAUGCGCAGAUAUCAGGAGGAACACCGAUGGCGAAGGCAGGUCUCUGGGCUGUAACUGACGCUGAGGAGCGAAAGCAUGGGGAGCGAACAGGAUUAGAUACCCUGGUAGUCCAUGCCGUAAACGUUGGGCACUAGGUGUGGGGGACAUUCCACGUUUUCCGCGCCGUAGCUAACGCAUUAAGUGCCCCGCCUGGGGAGUACGGCCGCAAGGCUAAAACUCAAAGGAAUUGACGGGGGCCCGCACAAGCGGCGGAGCAUGCGGAUUAAUUCGAUGCAACGCGAAGAACCUUACCAAGGCUUGACAUGGACCGGACCGCCGCAGAAAUGCGGUUUCCCUUCGGGGCCGGUUUACAGGUGGUGCAUGGGUUGUCGUCAGCUCGUGUCGUGAGAUGUUGGGUUAAGUCCCGCAACGAGCGCAACCCUCGUUCUAUGUUGCCAGCGCGUUAUGGCGGGGACUCAUAGGAGACUGCCGGGGUCAACUCGGAGGAAGGUGGGGACGACGUCAAAUCAUCAUGCCCCUUAUGUCUUGGGCUUCACGCAUGCUACAAUGGCCGGUACAAAGGGUUGCGAUACUGUGAGGUGGAGCUAAUCCCAAAAAGCCGGUCUCAGUUCGGAUUGAGGUCUGCAACUCGACCUCAUGAAGUCGGAGUCGCUAGUAAUCGCAGAUCAGCAACGCUGCGGUGAAUACGUUCCCGGGCCUUGUACACACCGCCCGUCAAGUCACGAAAGUUGGUAACACCCGAAGCCGGUGGCC
rnacentral:rRNA from 1 species